AUGAGAUGUGCAAGAUCACCGAUUCACGUGAAGCGAGCUAGGCGACAUCCAAAAGCAAGUGGCGCCCGUUCGUCCGUGAACCGAUGCUCAUCAAAUUCGAUCGUUCCAACAGCAAAAGAUCGAUCGAGGCAAGCAUGCAUGUCUCAUCCCGGACCCGGAGCAUCUGUAUAUAUAUACAUGCCAAAUCUGGGGGGAGUUACACCCAUCCAUUCAUGUGCGAGCUCUGAAGCCCUUCACACACCACUGAGAGACAGCAUGGGAACAAUGGCGCCCUCACCUGCUCUGCUGCCAGUGCUCCUCCUCCUGCCCCUGCUGCUCCUCUCCGUCGUCUGUACUGCAGGCGCAGCGCCGGCAGCAACAGCAACGGUGCCAACGAUACCAUCUCAGCCCGGCAAGCCGAACUCGAACAACAAGCAGAAGCAGGGGGGCGCGCCGCUGGGGCCGGCGGUGCGCGCGCUGGUGCAGUCCACCUGCAACGCCACCACCUACUACGACCUCUGCGUGGCCGCGCUCGUGGCGGACCCCGCCAGCUCCACCGCCGACCUCCGCGGCCUCUGCGCCAUCGCCGUCUCCGCGGCGGCCGCCAACGCCUCCGCCACCGCGUCCGCGCUCGCCAACACCACCUGGGCCGCCUCGGGCGCCCCAGAGCCGGGCAGCGACGGGCGCGCGCAGCAGGUGCCGGCGCUCCUGACGAGGACCUGCGCCGGCAAGUACGGCGAGGCGCGGGAGGCGCUGCUGGAGGCCCGGGAGUCGGUGGGCGAGGAGGCGUACGACUACGCGUUCGUGCACGUGGGCGCCGCCGCCGAGUACCCCGCGGUGUGCCGGACGAUGUUCCGGAGGAAGCGGGUGCCCUACCCCGUGGAGCUGGCCCGGCGGGAGGAGGCGCUGGAGCACCUCUGCACCGUCGUCAUCGACAUCAUCACGCUCCUCGCCUAG
rnacentral:rRNA from 1 species